rnacentral:rRNA from 1 species
CAGCCGCCGCGGGAAUACGUAGGGUGCGAGCGUUAAUCGGAAUUACUGGGCGUAAAGCGUGCGCAGGCGGUUAUAUAAGACAGAUGUGAAAUCCCCGGGCUCAACCUGGGACCUGCAUUUGUGACUGUAUAGCUAGAGUACGGUAGAGGGGGAUGGAAUUCCGCGUGUAGCAGUGAAAUGCGUAGAUAUGCGGAGGAACACCGAUGGCGUAGGCAAUCCCCUGGACCUGUACUGACGCUCAUGCACGAAAGCGUGGGGAGCAAACAGGAUUAGAGACCCCAGUAGUCCCUGUCCUUAUACA